AGCAAGGACAACUCGAGGACGAGAGGGGAGAUGGAACGACUGAUCGAGCCCGAGAGUGACAGUACCGUUUCGGACGGCGUGCGUGUAACUAUGUACCGAUCGAUCUUAACACGUACAUGUACCCAGUGAUAUUAAAUUCAUAUUAUCACUUUACAUGCGGGACCGAUCGCAGUACCGAAUACAACGAGAGACUCUAAUCACGGUUGCGCGAUCGACACCAGUGAAAUACUAUAAUACUAUCCGUGACUUUUCCUUGGACUUUUCUAAUCGGAAAGUGUAUUUGUGUGACUCUGAUCAAAGUGCAAUAAUUCUCAAUCAAAACACUACAAGUGAAGCCUCGAUGCAAAGAGUCAACUCGACAACAUUUCGCCAUCCAUCCCCAGGAACUCUUCCGGGUUAUCUAAAGGAUCCAACGCAUGGUCCAGAGCAAACAAUAUGGAGGAUCGAUUAACAGAGUAACGUCGAUUCGUUGUACGAAAAAGGCGAGGACUGUGCAGGAGCCAACGAUUUCAAAGGGUGAACGCGAUUGAAGAAGUUUUGGAAACCACUUGGCUGGAGAUAGGCGAGGCAACGACGAAAGUGUGAACGGCGCGAUGAUCCUGAAGGAAGCGUCGAGAGACGAAUAAAGGUCGGACUACAGCGCGCCGAGAGAGACUCGUAGACCCGUUCUUAUCAUAGUAAUCGUUACUUCGAAUGGCUUACGAACUGGUAACGCGCGGAAAAACCCGCUCGGUGUCGCUUCGUACGUGUCGAUGGCGCGAUUUCAUUUAAAGGGACUCGCAUAAGGCUCUGAAAUCCCCCAUUACCAAUACCCGAGGUAUGGGUAGAGGAUUCUCGACUUCAAUUUUACAGAAUGGGGGCAUCUGUUGAAAAUUAUAAUUCGAUCAACAAGAAACAGAGUCCUCCGUUUGGUAACUGUCGCGCGGUUACUUCCACUCUCUCGUCUUUGAGGUUGCCAACGUCAUCAUCGCGUCUAAUCGAGUCGUUUUGCUUACGGCACGGAAUCUUGGAUGAUUUAUCGAUCUUCGCCAUAAUCGUGGCAAUCUUGCUCCCUAGUUUUUCAAUUGGCGCCAAUACCACGGACGAAGGACGUCAAUUAAUCACGCGGCCCGUUGAAGUAUGCGCACACAACGAUUCCAUCCGAGUUUCCGACGGUGCAGUUACGUUGAUACGCGAACAACACCUAGGCGUCGCAACGGUUAUCAAUUAUUCGCCGAUAAAGCUGCCAGAAUCUCGAAAGCAAGCCGCCCCCCUCGUACCCGCGUCGCGGUAUCCCUUCAGCCGCCGAUUGAAAUUUAUCGACACGCUAUAAUUACGUGCCAGGAAGUUGAUUGUGCGUCGCUGCGAUCCUCAUUAGGCGUGUACGCUCAACCGCUAUAGAGGACCCUGACGGACGCGACGUUGCAGUUGUCUCGGUGAACCUCGAUGACACGUAUAGGUGACUGCCAUCGACAGCGAUUAAACGAUCGACUUCAGCCUUUUCACUGGUGGGAUGUAUGAAUUCACUCUUUUCAUUGUCAGGUUCACAGCUUGAUACACCACGUGUAGCAUAUUUCACAGUGGAUGGAGCUAAACGGAUCAAUUCAAUUGUCCUUACAAAGGUCAGAACAAAAAUUCUUACAAAAAGCGGAAAGAGAAAUCUUGGAACGAAACUAGUUUGAAUUAAAUUUUCGAAAGUUGUCGAGAACCAGGAAGAGGUACGGAGAGAUCGAGCAGUGAAUUCGUAGCCAUGCUAUAACUCGCGACAACGUUGAUCACGCUUGACUGUUUCAAACGCAACCGCAACCUUCGUCGGGGAACCAUCAAAACAUCGUAAAUAUUGAUUCAGCCAUGCGCGUAAUGGAAUACGAAUGAACAAACUGCAAGGAAAAACAGCAUCCGUGCUAUGGCAACACUAUACACGGGGUGUCGCCUGAAUAAAGUCAGGAAUAAACAAGGAAAAACCUCCAGAGUAAAAUUUGAUUAAGAGACGCGUGGUCUUCCUAACUCGAGCAUCAACCAGUGUCAUAAACGUGGAUGUGCAAUCAGCACUGCUUUGAAGUUCUCUAGCUUCUUUCUCAAUAUAUCCAAGGAUUUUCUCGAGAAACCGGACUCACAAUUUGAUUUCUGUGUCGAGCCCUUCAUAUCCGAAUCGUCCUGCGCUGUUUAAUCCGCAUUAAGAGGAAUGUGGAGCACGUCGCAACAUUCGGCUCCGAUUGUUCGAUUACCUGUCUGCUUCGACCCUUUAAUCGCUGUGCUGCGCUUACCUUGAUGAUUAACAU